UGCUAGAAUGAGAAUGAAUGUACACUUUUGAAUAAGAAGGACUUUUUUUGUAGGGAACGGGGUGCAAAUCCUCGACAGUCCCUUUCUACUGUAACAUGGACGAAAUCUUAAAACUCACUGGAGAGCAUAAUCUGGGAAGAGAAGAGAGUAGGAUGAAGUGAAGUCAGGAUAUCUGCAGGAAAAGUUCUGGACAU
rfam:Enterococcus canis strain DSM 17029 Scaffold2, whole genome shotgun sequence.